UUUUUAAUUUUUAAAAAAAUCUUAAAAAGACGUUUAACCCUCAAUUUGCUCAAUAGCGGGAGCCAAAAGCAUUAAAAAGCGGGAUUAAGUUUCAGAUUGCGCGCUUCCCAAAAUCAAGCGGGAUUAAGUUUCAGAUUGCGCACCUCCCAAAAUCUCUAUCUCCUCCCCCUAUCCAAAACAAAAAAACACAAAAAAAUAACACUCUCAACCGACUGCUACAGAAAAGAUGAGAGAAUACCCCAACUUCAUCUGUUCAAUGGCUAAACUCCCUACUUCGCAAAUCUUUGCCAGAUUUGUCGCAAAAAUCACUUCAAAGUAAGCAAUUAGUUGUGCUAAUCAACCGGAUGCACAGACAAUUAGCAAAUCCAUUCCAAAUAAUCAAAUCCAUGGACAAGCACACAGCAAGAGCAAUACUGCAAAUACAUGGCUUCAUUUGUCAAUUUUGCUAUCAAUCCAUAAAUUUUCUGGUUCGUCUUCUCCAAAUCGACUUCAAAUAUGGAAAUUUCUAGAAAUUUACUCACUGCAUCUGCCAAUGAACAGUGUUGUGAGAUGUAAUGUUUACUUGAAGGAUGGUAAAUGCCAUGACUUGCUUUGCUGAGUGUUAGUGUCUGCUGCAAAUUUUUAAUUGGUUCAGGUUCAUAUCAAUUUUGACCUCUUUAGGCGAAGGUUCUCAGUUCAUUUUAAAGUAGCAUAUCUUUCAUUAGCUGCUACCUACUCCUGGUCAAAGGUGAUACAGUUUAAGCCUUUAUCUCAUCUUGUUUCUUUUGCAAGAUACUGUCAAGUGGAUUCUUAGUUUUGGAUAAUGGGGUCUUUGGAGUUAUGGAUGUCAUGUAAAUGUCACUCCAUAACUGUGAUUAAAUGGAGUUAUAUGGAUUUGAGGUAAUAAUUUGUAAAGGUUGCUAGCUUGACUUCUGACUCAAACCUUCUUAGUGAAUAUAGUUUGUUGUUUUCUACUAAUUUGCAGUUGCCAUUUCAUUUUGCAAUAUGUCUUACUUCUUUGCAAACAUUGUUUGUUGCUUGAUCUUUGAAACUUACUGGAAAUACUUAGACGAAUUUAAGGAUCUGAUUGCCCACAGUUUCUCUAGACACGGACUAUUACUCGUCAUUGUUCAGUUUCUCAAAGUCUAUCAAAGCUUUAGGAGUAUCAAAUUCCAGAACUGUGAGAUAUAGUUAGAGCUAGGACUGCACAUUAUCUCUUAAUUUGUAUAUUUAAUUAUUAGUUUCCACUGCCUUCAUGUUAAUAAUUUCCAAUAUAUUUCAAUCGUUUUACAUAUUACCAGGGAACCUAUACUUGUGAAAGUAACAACACCGUCUACAUUGAUGUUGCUUAGAUAGUCUAAUAGAUCAUCAAACUGACGUGCCAUAAAUUUUUGCACCUAUUUGCUCUAUUUCCUACUGUUAUGGUCUAUCUUGUUGUAAUUGGUGAUAUGCAACAUCAUUAAACUGAGAAUAUUAAUGGGUGUGAAGAUUUGAACCCAAGAUCUAAAAUUUACCACAAGAGCACAUACCUUGUAAAUUUAAAACAAAAAAGAGUCCAGGGGAUCACAUAUUUUUGUCUGUUUAUUAGUUUGUUUUAUCUGUCCAUGAAGCUGUGAAUAUGCUAUUUUAUGUUACUAUCUGGAAAACUUCCUAAUCAAUAUGCAUUCUCCAUUUCCCUUAUCUUUUCCUGUCUUUGUUCUAACUACCUGGGCAGCAUUGUUCUCAUCAGUUACCACAGAAAUCUGGUUUCUAAAUGAGGCACCGUAUCUUCAAGAGUUUUCAGAGUUGUGGUAGAAUUCGACAGUUUGCUGAUGAAAUAGUAAUUUCAGAUCUUGCUUUAUCUAAUUCAUCCUCUGCAAUAACUCUACUAGAUUCGACCUUCUUCCUUCUCCUUACCAAGCCUGAAGAUACUGGUUUCUGCCACUGUAAGACCAUUUUAGCAUUAUUUUUAGCUGCAUAACCUCCAGCAGAAAUACAUGCCAAUCGAAUGAGUUUAAUUCUUGCUCAAGAGAAAGGAUGGGGGCAUAUCAUUAUUUCUUCAGAUUGUAAAGUAGUAGUGGGUUUGAACCAAAUUGAACCUCAUGUUACGGAGCUUGCUAAUAUUAUUUAUGAUUGCAGGGAACUGAGGCAACACUUCUCAGAGAUUCACUUUCAGUUGGAGGGUAGGAAAAAGAACAAGCUAGUUGAUCAACUUGCUGGUAUUACACGCCAGGAAAGCAUGGAGAUGAACCAGAUCAUGCAACUUCGGGAACCUACAACUGAAUGUUUAAAAUUUUAUUAUGAGAACAUCCAUGAUUGUAGUAG